CAUGGGGCAAGGAAGGCUUCACCAACUUUCUCUUUUGUCCAUUGAAAAGGAGCAACUAUGCAAAGUGUUGCUACCUGGAGUAGGUUUUCUGCAAUGUACAAAAAAAGCUUUCUGCACCAUGUACACCAUUGACACCUGCCUUGGAUGUGGACGAAUAUAUAAAAACUGCACACCAGGAUAUUUUGGGACAGGAAAAAGGGGAGUACUAGAAGCAAUCUAUUCUGAAGCCGAAGAUCCGGGAUAGGGCAAUCACUUCUGCAGCCAAUUGCAAUAGAUGUCCCUCUUGCCUGUCCUCCAGCCCCUGCACGUCGAGAGGAGCAGACACCCGUUUGUGCCCAGAGGACAUUACUCACAUGUUGGACUUUCAAAUGUACUUUUGAGAAUACUUUGCAAAAUCUCAUGACGCUGUUAUUGUUGUUAAUAUACAUAUAGUUAUAUGUCCUUAAGAUGUUUUUGUCAAUGUUUCUGUUGUUGUUUCUGCAUCC
ensembl:lncRNA